rnacentral:rRNA from 1 species
GCCGCGUGUGUGAAGAAGGCCUUAUGGUUGUAAAGCACUUUAAGCGAGGAGGAGGCUCUUUUGGUUAAUACCCAAGAUGAGUGGACGUUACUCGCAGAAUAAGCACCGGCUAACUCUGUGCCAGCAGCCGCGGUAAUACAGAGGGUGCAAGCGUUAAUCGGAUUUACUGGGCGUAAAGCGCGCGUAGGCGGCCAAUUAAGUCAAAUGUGAAAUCCCCGAGCUUAACUUGGGAAUUGCAUUCGAUACUGGUUGGCUAGAGUGUGGGAGAGGAUGGUAGAAUUCCAGGUGUAGCGGUGAAAUGCGUAGAGAUCUGGAGGAAUACCGAUGGCGAAGGCAGCCAUCUGGCCUAACACUGACGCUGAGGUGCGAAAGCAUGGGGAGCAAACAGGAUUAGAUACCCUGGUAGUCCAUGCCGUAAACGAUGUCUACUAGCCGUUGGGGCCUUUGAGGCUUUAGUGGCGCAGCUAACGCGAUAAGUAGACCGCCUGGGGAGUACGGUCGCAAGACUAAAACUCAAAUGAAUUGACGGGGGCCCGCACAAGCGGUGGAGCAUGU